UAGAUACCCUGGUAGUCCACGCCCUAAACGAUGUAUACCGGUUGUUGCUGUGCUAGUCACGGCAGUAAUCCACCUAACGGAUUAAGUAUACCGCCUGGGGAGUACGGUCGCAAGAUUAAAACUCAAAGGAAUAGACGGGGACCCGCACAAGCGGUGGAGCAUGUGGUUUAAUUCGAAGAUACGCGAAGAACCUUACCCGGACUUGAUAUCUAACAAAUCAUCCAGAGAUGGAAGAGUGUCUGCUUGCAGA
rnacentral:rRNA from 1 species